UUUCCGGUUUCGGAUUUACCAGGGAAGCGUGUGAAAUUUACUUUUGUUUAUCUACCUUUUGUUCAACGAUGAAGGGAUCUGAGACUUGUAAUACUGUUUAGUGAUUUGAUAAUAUUCCUUGUUCCUUUGAUGGUUCAUUCCACUACAGCUGGUUCAUAUACCCUACAACAGCCAGGAAAUUGGUCUGUUUACUUUAAGAUCUCAAGAAAAUGUAACAUAUUUUGGACAUGUUGGAUGUGCUUUGAGGAAUCAGGAAGGCAAGUGUUUCCUCUUGUUUAUGAAAGCAACUCAGUUGGUUAAGGGGCAGACAACUUGUGAGCAUGGUACAUCAGUGAUUCACUACCUGUAAUGGUAUUCCAUUUUGACAAUGCUGCUAGCUAGAAUAGAAAUAACAUCUUGCUGUGGUAUGGUCUGUGGAGAGUUUUACUAGGAUAUCACAGAUCGAUUGAAUAUUCAACAGUGAUUACAGACCAUGCAAAUUUUGAAUCUGACUUGCACUUUUGAAUUUAGAAGAAUCUGUGGAGGAGGGUGAAUGCUGAGACCUUUAAGUUUAAUAAAACAUGAUAUUGCUGACACAGUGUGACAGUCAUCAAAGAAAUGUCAUAACAACACAGUUGGUCAACAGUGAUUUAAAUCCUGUCACAUUCUACCAGUGGAGAAAUAUCUUAUCAUGUAAUAUUUAAACUUUUGAAGAAGAUAACCAAGUAUUACCACUUUAUCAUGUCUGCAGAAACACCUGGAUUGUUAGUCUUAAAAGUGACAGUCCAGUUAACUUACUAAAAUAUACUCCCCCUUGCCAAACGAAUAUUAUUGACAUGGAAUGACACAAGCGGACAACGGUACCUGUAUGAACUCAUAAGAGAAUAGUAUUUGUCUGAAAAGUCAAAGGAUUCUGUUUGUCCCAAACCACUUGAACUGAAAAUUUGGAUUGACGAGGAUUUUUCUGAGAACUGAAAAAUGGAAGUGAAUAUAAAAGAUAGAAAUUGUUGUUGAAUUCAAACGUUUUAAUAUACAACACUUCAGCCUGUUUUGCUGUUCAUAUAGAUGUGUUUAGCUGUUAAGGUUAAACAUCAAGAAAAGGUUGUAGUUUCAGUUACCUACAUUAAAGUAUUGGCUGGAAAUAAAUAUUUACUUUUCACCAGAGCUUGUAGCAGUGUAACCUUCAUCAAAAGUUAAGCUGUUGUGUUAAUUAUUAAAGUUUUUUUAGAAAAAGGAAUUUAGUAUGUAUGCUGCCAUGGUAACAUAAUUCAAAUUAUAUUUCAUUGAAAUUAUGGAUUUGUAUUUCAAUAAGGGAUCUACAGUAUAUAAUGUAAUGGUAAAAGAAUGUUCACUUUCUUCAGUAUUGUCAGUUAAAACUAGCCAGUGACAAAACAGAUUAUGAGGAAAGGGAUGACUGAAAUGUUUAUUCUUAAGAUAACUACUUUUGUUACAGAACAUGACUGUUUUAAAGUUUUUAUGUGAAAUUUUCAGAUUUCUUUCCUGAAUACUUGUACUUUCAAAUAUUUAACUUAUUAGAAAUACUUUUUAAAAUAAGCUCUUGUUUUUAAGUAUUAUUGUAGGAAAAGGGAAUUUAAAACAUAUGUCGCCAUGGUAACACAAUUUUAUUAGAAAAUGUGGAAAAUUUUUAAUUAACUGUACUUUCUAGUAUUCUAGAUAAGUAUAAACAAUAAAAAAUCAAUAGUAAUAUAUGUUUCAUUUAUUUCAAAAUAGUAAUUUAUUACCAGCAGGUAAAAGGCAAGUUAUGAAGAAACAAUGACAGAAAUGUCUUAUUCUUAUAGUUAUUACUCAUGUUACAAACACUGUCAUAAAACUAAACAUUUUAAUUUUUUAACAUGGAAUUUUGAGAUAUUUUUGAAUACAUACCACUUUAUAAUAUUCAAGUUAUCUGAAACACUUUUCCAAAUUUAGCUCGUUUUUAAGAUAUUAUUGUAGAAAACAGAAUCAAAUGCAUAUGUUGCCAUGGUAACAUAAUUUAAUAAUGUUUUUAUAGAAAAAUGUGAAGGACUUUAGCCAGCUAGAUGUUUGCACUUUAAGUGAAUAUCUAAAUAUUCUUUGUAAAAGAAGAUUCAUUUAUUUAAAAAUAGCCAGUGAUUACCAAUAAGUGAAAACACAAACUGAAGAAACAACGACUGAAAUAGUUUAUUAGUCCCCUACUAGUUGAAAACCAGUUUCGGGGACUAUAGGAAUGCGCUUUUCCGUCAUUCCGUCUGUCCGUCCGUCUGUCCGUCCGUCCGCAAUUUCGUGUCCGGUCCAUAACUCUGUCAUCCAUGAAGGGAUUUUAAUAUUACUUGGCACAAAUGUUCCCCAUGAUGAGACGACAUGUCAUGCGCAAAACCCGGACCCCUUGCUCAAAGGUGAAGGUCACAAUUGGAGGUCAAAGGUCAACAGGGCUUUUUUCCUGUCCGGUCCAUAACUCUCCCAUCCAUGAAGGGAUUUUAAUAUUACUUGGCAUAAAUGUUCCCCAUGAUGAGACGACGUGUCAUGCGCAAAACCCGGACCCCUAGCUCAAAGGUCAAGGUCACAGUUGGAGGUCAAAGGACAACAGGGCUUUUUUCCUGUCCGGUCCAUAACUCUCCCAUCCAUGAAGAGAUUUUAAUAUUACUUGGCACAAAUGUUCCCCAUGAGAAGACGACGUGUCAUGUGCAAAAACCUAGACACCUAGCUUAAAGGUCAAGGGCACAAUUUGAGGUCAAAGGUCAACAAGGCUUUUUUCCUGUCCGGUCCAUAACUCUCCCAUCUAUGAAGGGAUUUUAAUAUUACUUGGCAGAAAUGUACCUCAUAAUAAGACGAUGUGUCAUGCACAACUUUCAAACCCCUAGCUCAAAGGUCAAGGUCACACUUAGCAGUCAAAUGUUAACAUAGCAUGAACAGGGUCUGUUUCGUGUCCGGUCCAUAACUCUGACAUUCAUUAAGGAAUUUUAAUAUCACUUUGCACAAGUGUUCCCCAUGAUGAGACAACGUGUCAUGCACAAAUCCCAGACCCCUAGCUCAAAGGUCAAGGUCACAAUUGGGGGUCAAAGGUCAAUAAGGUUUUUUCCCUGUCCGAUCCAGAACUCUGUCAUCCAUCAAGGGAUUACAAUAUUACUUGGCAUAAAUGUUUCCCAUGAUGAGAUGACAUGUCAUGCACAACACCCAGUACCCUAGCUUAAAGGUCAAGGUCACACUUUGAGAUCAAAGGUCAAGAGGAUUUUUUUCCUGUCCCGUCUAUAACUUUGUCAUGCAAAGCAGGAUUUAGAUAUCAGUUGGCACAAAUAUUCCCCUGGAUGAGACAACAUGUCAUGCGCAAGAACCAGGUCCCUAGGUCUAAGGUCAAGGUCAUAUUUAGAGGUCAAAGGGCAAAUUCAAGAAUGACUUUGUACGGAACAUUUCUUCUUCAUGCAUGGAGGGAUUUUGAUGUAACUUGGACCAA